CCUACGGGAGGCAGCAGUGGGGAAUAUUGCACAAUGGGGGAAACUCUGAUGCAGCGAUGCCGCGUGAGGGAAGAAGGAAUUCGUUACGUAAAGCUCUAUCAGCAGGGAAGAAAAUGACGGUACCUGUGUAAGAAGCCCCGUCUAACUACGUGCCAGCAGCGGCGUUAAUACGUAGGGGGCAAGCGUUAUCCGGAUUUCCUGGGCGUAAAGGGAGCGUAGGCGGUCCGGCAAGUCUGGAGUGAAAUGCCGAAGCUUAACUGCGGAACUGCUUUGGAUACUGGCGGACUAGAGUGCGGGUGCGGUAAGCGGAAUGCGUAGUGUAGCGGUGAAAUGCGUAGAUAUUAGACGGAACACCGGUGGCGAAGGCGGCUUACUAGACUAUAACUGACGUUGAGGCACGAAAGCGUGGGGAGCAAACAGGAUUAGAUACCCUUGUAGUC
rnacentral:rRNA from 1 species